rnacentral:rRNA from 1 species
UGUUAAAGAUUAAGCCAUGCAUGUGUAAGUAUAAAGACAAAACAAGAUGAAACUGCGGACGGCUCAUUACAACAGUUAUAGUUUCUUUGGUUAGUAAGAUAAGGAUAACUCUGUUAAUUGUAGAGCUAAUACUUGAGACACUCCUUAGUCACGUGGCUAAGGCGACCUGACAGCGUCAGGUAAGAAUCAUCUCUUAUUGAAGGAUGAGAUGAGGACAAUUGUAGAAGGCCAGGAAUUUAACAAGUAACCAAUGAGAAUAUCUGACCUAUCAACUCGAUGGUAAGGUAGUGGCUUACCAUGGUGAUAACGGGUAACGAGAAAUAAGGGUUUGAAAUCGGAGAGGGAGCCUUCAAAAUGGCUACCACUUCUAAGGAAGGCAGCAGGCGCGAAAAUUACCCACUUCAGACGAUGAGAGGUAGUGACGACAAAUAACUAAAACCGGUGCACAGCAUCGAGUUUUGGGGAUGAGCCAGAAACAAAGACUCUGGCGAACGCGAUUGGAGGGCAAGUCUGGUGCCAGCAGCCGCGGUAAUUCCAGCUCCAAUAGUGUAUAUUAAAGUUGUUGUGAUUAAAAAGCUCGUAGUUGAAAGGCAAGGAGAGUAGGCACUGCCAGCCGAGAGCAUUCGUGUGCUUGGCGGCGGGGCCUAGAUUCUCAAACACUCGAGCGCAGCUGUUCGCAGCUACGCCAGAGACAUUUACUUUGAAAAAAUAUGAGUGUUUAAAGCAAAGCAUAAGCUAAUGAAAUAUGAAGCAUGGGAUAAUAGCGAGGGGAUUGCGGUUGAGGUUGGCAACUGCCAAGCAAGACUGCGAUAACGAGAGAAGGAUUAAUAGAAAGAGAUGGGGUGAUUUAUACGGAAAUGGGAGAGGUGGAAUUUCAUGAUCAUUUCAGGAUAAACAAGAGCGAAAGCAUUUCACUUAAAUCUAUUCAUUAAUCAAGAACGAAAGUUAGGGGAUCGAAGACGAUUAGAUACCGUCGUAGUCCUAACUAUAAACGAUGUCAACCGAGGAUUGGAAUGAAUAACGACACUCUUGCGGGUGCCUCGCGCACAAGCAGAGUGUUAGAGAAACUCAGUUCAGCACUCAGCGGGAAACCGGGAGUUAAUGGACUUCAGGGGGAGUAUGGUCGCAAGGCUGAAACUUAAAGGAAUUGACGGAAGGGCACACAAGGGGUGGAGCUUGCGGCUUAAUUUGACUCAACACGGGAAAACUUACCAAGACCAAACAUCAAGAGGAAUGACAGACUAAGGGACCUUUCAUGAUAAGAUGAGGAGUGGUGCAUGGCCGUUCUUAGUUGGUGGAGUGAUUUGUCAGGUUAAUUCCGAUAACGAACGAGACUUUAAUCUCUAAUUGGAUGAGCGUGCUCCAGUACGCCCAGCAGCAAUGCCCUCUGCGGAGGUCGACUUAGAGAGACAUAUCAUCAAUUUUCCAGAGAAACCUUCGGGUUUGAUGGAAGAAGAGAUAGGAAGGAAAGCAAUAACAGGUCUGUGAUGCCCUUAGACAUCUUGGGCUGCACGCGUGCUACAAUAGUAGCCAUAAAGAGCACAACGGCAAUGCAAUAGCGGAAGCGAUCCUUCGGGAGGCAACCGGACUAGGCAGGCCGACCGAAUCCGAAAGGAGGAGGGAAACUCGAAAGGGUACUGUACCAGGGAUUGACGAUUGAAAUUAUUCGUCAUGAACGAGGAAUCCCUUGUAAAAUUUCGUCACUAACGAAAGUUGAAUACGUCCCUGCCCUUUGUACACACCGCCCGUCGCUCCUACCGAUUGAAUGAGAAGGUGAAGGUUUAGGAGGAAGUGACCACGUCACACCGAAUGGAUCUAAAUCUCUUCAUUUAGAGG